rnacentral:rRNA from 1 species
GGCGGACGGGUGAGUAACACGUUAGGAAUCGACCCAGCCGUGGGGGAUAACCUGGGGAAACUCAGGCUAAUACCGCAUACGCUGUGAGCAGGAAAGCGGGGGACCAAAUGGCCUCGUGCGGGUGGACGAGCCUACGUCGGAUUAGCUAGUUGGUAGGGUAAGGGCCUACCAAGGCGACGAUCCGUAGCGGGUCUGAGAGGAUGACCCGCCACACUGGGACUGAGACACGGCCCAGACUCCUACGGGAGGCAGCAGUGGGGAAUCUUGGACAAUGGGCGCAAGCCUGAUCCAGCAAUGCCGCGUGGGUGAAGACGGCCUGCGGGUUGUAAAGCCCUUUUGGCGGGGAAGAAGGCCCUGAGGUGAAUAGCCUUGGGGGGUGACGUUACCCNCUG